rnacentral:tRNA from 1 species
GGAGGGGUGGCGGAGCGGUUGAUCGCGCCGGUCUUGAAAACCGGCAGGGCCGAAAGGCCCUCGGGGGUUCUAAUCCCUCCCCCUCCG